rfam:Oryza brachyantha chromosome 4, whole genome shotgun sequence.
CCUCUCGACGACGAGGACAUGAUGUCCUACAUCCUUGUCGGGCUUAAUGAUGAUUACGAGCCCGUCGUCUCCUCUCUCGUUGGCAAGGCGGAAGCAGUCCCGAUCGCGGAGAUCUAUAGUCAGCUCUUGAGCUUCGAGA